GUACAAUGGAUUUCUCGGCUCCCACAUCGAUGAAGAACGCAGCAAAGCGCGAUAGGUAGUGUGAAUUGCAGAAUACCGUGAAUCAUCGAAUUUUUGAACGCAUAUUGCGCCCGGGUUUGAGCCUGGGCAUGUCUGCCUCAGCGUCGAUUUCCUCAUG
rnacentral:rRNA from 1 species